GUGCUUGCUUCAAGAGCACAUAUACUAAAAGAAACUGGAACAACAUAGAGAUGAUUAGCAUGGCCCCUGUGCAAGGAUGCAAAUUUGUGAAGUGUUCCAUAUAUUU
rnacentral:snRNA from 1 species